AUUGAACGCUGGCGGCAGGCCUAACACAUGCAAGUCGAGCGGAUGAAGGGAGCUUGCUCCUGGAUUCAGCGGCGGACGGGUGAGUAAUGCCUAGGAAUCUGCCUGGUAGUGGGGGAUAACGUCCGGAAACGGGCGCUAAUACCGCAUACGUCCUGAGGGAGAAAGUGGGGGAUCUUCGGACCUCACGCUAUCAGAUGAGCCUAGGUCGGAUUAGCUAGUUGGUGGGGUAAAGGCCUACCAAGGCGACGAUCCGUAACUGGUCUGAGAGGAUGUUCAGUCACACUGGAACUGAGACACGGUCCAGACUCCUACGGGAGGCAGCAGUGGGGAAUAUUGGACAAUGGGCGAAAGCCUGAUCCAGCCAUGCCGCGUGUGUGAAGAAGGUCUUCGGAUUGUAAAGCACUUUAAGUUGGGAGGAAGGGCAGUAAGUUAAUACCUUGCUGUUUUGACGUUACCAACAGAAUAAGCACCGGCUAACUUCGU
rnacentral:rRNA from 1 species